AAAAUUUCUUUUAGAAAACAUUAAUAUGAAGUUAAAUAUUAAGAUUAUAGAAUUAUUUGUAUCUUAAAAUACUUAGGAUGCGUUUGGUUCGAGUUAUCCUGACAGAAUUACAGGCAAUCCUGCCAGGAUAACUAUGUUUGGUUCAUCCGUUAUGUAAUCUAGUCGUUAAUGUAACAUUACAAUUCGAGCAGGAUUACAUCGAAAAUAUUAACGGAAGGGGGGUCCUGUAUCUUGCAUUACUGAAACCUGUUAAUACUAUAUAUUAUAUAAAAUGACAAUUUUACCCUCCAACAGCCCCAAAUCUAUUUAACAGCAUUAUUUUCAUCUCACUCUCGCCUUCCCCCCUCUCUCUCGCACGCCGCUUUCUCUCGCUCUCUCUCUCUCUCGCACGUCUCUCUCUCUCUCUCUCUCUCUCUCUCUUUCUAUCUAUCUCUAUCCCUUUCUCUCUCUCGCACGAACACCUAUCAUCUUCUAUUGUGUCGUCCUCCCAGAUAAUCAUCACGAUCUCCUUCCCUCCAUUCGUCAUUUUCGCAAAAAAUAAUAUUCAAAUGACCACAACAAGGGCAAUUUUGGAAAAAACUAUACUUUGAUGUCAGAAUUACUAAAUUUUAUAAACUGAACCAAACGUAUUAAUGGUAUAAACAUUAUAAUCUAGUAUUACAUUACUGCAUUAAAUCAAACGCGCUAAUGCAGCAUCAGUAGUAAUCUCACAUCGAAAUCCAAGAUACCUGGAUAUGUCGAGAUAUUUUGUAAUAUUACAUAACUCGAACCAAACGGGCCCUUAGGAUUAUGCAGUUUUUCUCUUUGGUUUAACACAAACUAAGACACAUGAU
rnacentral:lncRNA from 1 species